rnacentral:rRNA from 1 species
UACGUAGGGUGCGAGCGUUGUCCGGAAUUAUUGGGCGUAAAGAGCUCGUAGGCGGUCUGUCGCGUCGAUCGUGAAAACUUGGGGCUUAACCCUGAGCUUGCGGUCGAUACGGGCAUGACUGGAGUUCGGCAGGGGAGACUGGAAUUCCUGGUGUAGCGGUGAAAUGCGCAGAUAUCAGGAGGAACACCGGUGGCGAAGGCAGUUCUCUGGGCCGUAACUGACGCUGAGGAGCGAAAGCGUGGGGAGCGAACAGG